rnacentral:rRNA from 1 species
CUACGGGAUGCACCAGUGAGGAAUUUUGCGCAAUGGGGGGAACCCUGACGCAGCAACGCCGUGUGAGUGAAGAAGGCCUCCGGGUCGUAAAGCUCUGUCAAGUGGGAAAAAAGCCUUUUGAUCAAUACCCAAAAGGUUUGAUGGUACCACUGGAGGAAGCACCGGCUAACUCCGUGCCAGCAGCCGCGGUAAUACGGAGGGUGCAAGCGUUGUUCGGAAUUACUGGGCGUAAAGGGCGUGCAGGCGGUUUGGCAAGUCAGAUGUGAAAGCCCUGGGCUUAACCCGGGAAGUGCAUUUGAAACUGCCUUUCUUGAGUAUGGGAGAGGAGAGUGGAAUUCCCAGUGUAGAGGUGAAAUUCGUAGAUAUUGGGAGGAACAUCCGUGGCGAAGGCGACUCUCUGGACCAAUACUGACGCUGAGACGCGAAAGCGUGGGGAGCAAACAGGAUUAGAUACCCCCGUAGUC